rnacentral:rRNA from 1 species
CCUACGGUGGGCAGCAGUGAGGAAUAUUGGUCAAUGGACGAGAGUCUGAACCAGCCAAGUAGCGUGAAGGAUGACUGCCCUAUGGGUUGUAAACUUCUUUUAUAAAGGAAUAAAACGAGGCACGCGUGCCUUUUUGCAUGUACUUUAUGAAUAAGGAUCGGCUAACUCCGUGCCAGCAGCCGCGGUAAUACGGAGGAUUCGAGCGUUAUCCGGAAUUAUUGGGUUUAAAGGGAGCGUAGAUGGGUUGUUAAGUUAGUUGUGAAAGUUUGCGGCUCAACCGUAAGAUUGCAAUUGAUACUGGCAGUCUUGAGUACAGUUGAGGUAGGCGGAAUUCGUGGUGUAGCGGUGAAAUGCUUAGAUAUCACGAAGAACCCCGAUUGCGAAGGCAGCUUACUAAACUGUGACUGACAUUGAUGCUCGAAAGUGUGGGUAUCAAACAGGAUUAGAUACCCUAGUAGUC